GGCAUUAUUUAUUUGCGAAGAUCAUCUGAAUGUAUGUACCUAAUAUCAGAAUGUAUGUAACUAUGUACUAUGAAGUGCCGGUAUAGCUCGGUGAUAAGACGCGUUACCUAUUGUGGGAGUAUAAAUAGGUCAUGGUUAAAGAAAGUACCGUAGAGUCCAUUAAAAUGCAGGGUCGUUUGGAAAGUCGUGAUAAUUCAGUGUCGUAAAUAAUAAAAUCACACAAGAAAAAUAUCCGAACAAUGUGAACUGUUAGUAAACCAUUGUCAAGUGUCACUGGUAGUGAAGUGACAAUGACAAUGACAAUGUCAACCCAAUCGGAAGUCAUUUCUUUGCUUGUAGUGGCAGAACUGAAGCAGCUGGGUGACGUCAAUUUCCGUUUUAACUAUUUUUAGAGAUUUUGAAUACAAAAAAUCGUAAAAAAUAUAUAAAA